UACGGAGGGUGCAAGCGUUGUCCGGAAUUACUGGGCGUAAAGCGCACGCAGGCGGUUUGUUAAGUCAGAUGUGAAAUCCCCGAGCUUAACUUGGGAACUGCAUUUGAAACUGGCAAGCUAGAGUCUUGUAGAGGGGGGUAGAAUUCCAGGUGUAGCGGUGAAAUGCGUAGAGAUCUGGAGGAAUACCGGUGGCGAAGGCGGCCCCCUGGACAAAGACUGACGCUCAGGUGCGAAAGCGUGGGGAGCAAACAGG
rnacentral:rRNA from 1 species